UAAUAACUAGUAAUCCUAAUUGUUCGCGAACAAUUAGAGGUCUUUCCACCUUUUCUGGAUUUGUUUCUUGACCUUUGAUCUUGAUCCAUUCUUCAGUAGGUCAAAUGACCACCCACCCACCCCCCCCCCAAAAAAAUUGAUAUGGCUAGAAAAGAAAUUCAAAUUUGCCGCCUUGAGUGUUGUAGUGUUGGAGAUUAAGGCCUUGGUUUCGCACGAUAGUACCGGUCAAAUAUUUGAAAAAAAGGGGUGUGAGUGUUUCAUAACCGGCACAUAUCAGGUAAAAGUGUAAUGGGACUUGUGCAGGUGUUUGGGGUGACUUUGGACCUGUUAGAUAGGAUAUUUGGAGGUGCAAAGAAACCGGAUGUAACAUUUUCCUAGAUUGUAGUAACUGCUGGUGCAUGCUGGGAGUCUACAAGCCUCAUGUUGUCAGAUGUUGUGAAGAUGCACUGGAUUUUACCGUGUGUGUUGUGGAUUGUGGAAUUGAAUAUACAGUUUGUAAUUGCUCAUCCUAUGUGUUCUAAUUCACGGAGACAAUGUCUUUCAGUCAUUUCACCCAAGGAGGCAUGCAUAUACGGAUUUAUAGGCUUUGACAACAAACAACCAAAAUGGCGGCCGGUGAAUUAGAAAGUGUCUGAGUGCAUGUAGGAUAUCUGAACGGAGAAUAGGAGUACUGCAUCCCAUCUGAUCCUACAGAAAAAUUGCCUUGUUUUCGGAGACACUGAUAACAUCAAAGACGAAGGGAAUAUGAAUUUAUCAUUCUAUUGGAAAUUGACAAUAAGUUCUCAAAAUCUGAAGAAGCUGGAAAUCCAAUCAUAUUUGUUAUUUCCUUUUCCAAAAAGCUUCAUUCCUAUUUGAGAUUAAAAAUCAACGCCCAUAAAUUUCAGAUAAAGCAGCGUAACAUAGUGGGGCUCCUAAAUCUGAAUGUUGAGCCCAGAGCGAGAAGACGUGGUGGACAAGAUUAACAGAUCCGAAACAGUGACAUGUGAGAGAGUUGGUUGGUGGGGAUUUCUACUUUCACUUUUGUGGAUGCAGUCAACGGACGACAGGAGGGGAAGCUGCGCAUUUCCUCGUUGGAUGAUUUAUGUACAUGUGUGGACGUGGAUGUCAUUUCAGUGAAAUCACUUGGAUUUAAGAGGCUGAGCAAAGGCACAAAGAAAAUGUUUCCUGAGUAUAGAAUCUGAACAAAGGAUAUUGCAUCAUUCCUGAUCAGGCAAGUCUAGCUUGUUCAUUUAUUGUAAUUUAUUUAUCAUUUCUUUUCUUUUCUUUUUUUUCUUUUUGAAUUACUUUUUAUUCAUUUAUUGGUUUACAAUAAUACAGAAGGUGAAAUGUACAUGUUUAACUCUUUCUGUGUAUGUGUAUUUGUUUUAAUUUUUUGUGGAGAGGGGGGGGGUAUUAUCAGUUUGUGUAGAGUGUCAAUUUUGUGUAUUGCUUAAAUAUCAGUACCAGUGCCCUAAUGUUGAACAUUGGGUAGAUAUGUAAAUUGGCACUUAGUUGGUUCAUGCAGUCCUCCUUGAUAUUGACCUAGCUUUCCCACGGAGACUGUUUCUCCAAGUUAUGCGUAGAGUGUCGGUCAUCUAUCUGUGUCUCGCAAGUACUUAGUGUAGACAGCUAUCAUGCUGAAUCCCGUUAAGGAAGGGGAUAUAGGCUUCCUUUGGAAUGACGUACAUACUCAAUGUUGCGUCGCUUGUGGAGACCCACAUCCUGAAGAGUGACCUUGACUUUUGACCUUGAUCCCAUUUUUUAAGGCCAACCACCUAAGACCUUGUGGAGGAGAAAGUUAUCUUGACCUUUGACCUUUACCCACUUUCAAGGCCAUUCGAGGUCAACAAUCCUAGAAUAUCAUGUGACUACUCCUGAAGAUGUAGAUGGAGCUUUAUGAUAGAAAACGUCAUUUUU